UUUUUGAACAUUCAUUAACAUAAGCAUCACUAUUCUUUGCAACAAGAUGUAAGCAAUCUUAUAGAUACACACUCAAGGAACGAGGGAAAGAUAUAAUACGCCUUUAUUAUGGUCUUGAUGAUGAAUCUCUGACUUGGAAAGAAAUUAGCAAAAGUGGGUGGAAGAUUUCCAAUAAGUAAACUGUCAGAACAGGACGUAGUGGCACUUCGGGAGCAUGAAAGACAAGAUAUGUGCAAAAUUUUAGACAAAUACCAUCUCAUUUGUUCAGGGAGCUGUAUUGUGUAACUUCUGGCUUUGCUGCUAGUGAAAUGACUUUUUUUCUGCCAUCGUUUCUCGGGAUAAUAAGCCUGGAACUUGGUAUUUAAAUAAUCUAGAUGCUUUAAGGAUCGAUCGUAUUUGGCCUUAAUUUCCUUUAAUUAUGUUUAUCUAAUUAUGUCCAGCAUUCAAUCCUAGUCUAUUUGUACUCCAUGUAUUGAGCAUAUUCAAACAAAUACUAUGAUGUAGUGAGGUGAAAUUUUUUUAUGAAAGGAUUAUGCUGCAAGUAUCUUAUUG